rnacentral:lncRNA from 10 species
CAGAGGGUGGAGAGGCAAGUAAAGGAACCAUGAGGGCUUCCGUAGUCCCCAGAAGCUGGGAGAGGCAAGGCAGGUCCUCCCCUAGAACCCUUGAAGGGAACACAGCCCGGCUAACACCUGGAUGUUGCACUUCCGACCUUCAGAACUGUGAGACCCCCAUCUCUGUUACUUUAAGUCUGUGGGAUCGAGUUGCGGCAGCCCCAGGAAACGGACACACUCCGCCUACAGGCUGCUGUGCUUGGGGCUGUGGAUGGGAGCGGGGAGCGCACUGGGAGGGAGUAAGCAGGGGUGGGGCAGGGCCUCAGGGCGCCUCCUUUUUUCCAGGGCCACUGGCCGGUCCCAUGCACCAGUCAGCAUCCACUGGCUCUGCACCACCAUGGCAGGCUGAGCCCCACAGGAGGCAGCAGCCACCCCUCUGAGGCCUAAUGUCCCUGACUCAGUGGGCCUUUGCCACCUUAGGCCUGGGACCCGGCAAGCAGGUGACAGUCAGAAACCUAUGUGGGCUGGAAGUUUAACUUGUCCAAGCAAAGGGAACACCAGUGAUGCAUGGUGACCCCUGAGGCACAGUAAACUUGUUCUGCAUUCCAAAUAAAACCUAACAAACCCUACACUUGUCUUGGAGAGCCAUGCUUUUGGAAAAAGCAAUUACACCAUCUGCUUUAUUAUAUGACUUUCUGACCCGGGACGAGUGUGACAGGGGAUCAUCAUGUAAAAAGGAAAGAGCAUUUCAGAAGCUUGGCGCAGAUGCCCAUUACUGUGGAGGAGGCCCGUGUCUUGGGCUGCCCAGGGGCCUGCAUUCAGGUAGUGGAACCUCUAGGCUGCACUCCAGACAGCCAGAUAAUCCUGUACCUGAUGUCCACCCCAUCCUCGAUAUCUUAUUCCACAGGGUCUUUUUCAAGAAGACUCACCCUCUUAUUUUCUGAUCAGCUGAAUUACUCUGUGGGUUGGAAAUGCUGAGACCAGAACCACUGAUAGGCUCUGAAGCCCCGGCUUGGUCUGAUGGAGCCCCUGGUUGUGGGACAAACAGUGGAGCAAGUCCAUGGGCCGUGACAGAGGCUGAACCAGGCUGGCACAACCAGACCUUCUAUGGCCAGGAUCGCUGGGCAGAAAGCACAUGCCACCAGCAUGGUGUUUGAGGGUAAAGAGACAAGCAUUUCAAUGUCGAGUAAAAAAAAAAGUUAGCCAAGUUCUGUUUUGUCCUCAUUAAUUCAUCUUCUUUUUUUUUUUUUUGAAAUGGUUCCUUGCUCUGUCACCCAGGAUGAAGUGCAGUGGCGAAAUCUCAGCUCACUGCAACCUCCAUCUUCCAGGUUCA